rfam:Roseibium sp. TrichSKD4 genomic scaffold scf_1119120597018, whole genome shotgun sequence.
ACCCUAUCUAGUGUUCAAGGUCUGAUGAUUCCUUCCUGGGAACAUCAGCGAAGAGGGAAGCCGGUGCGGAGAGAAACCAAUCCCGGCGCUGCCCCCGCAACUGUAAACAGCGAGCCUGCAUCCACUGUGCCACUGGGAAACCGGGAAGGCGGAUGCACCCGGCACUGACCUGUGAGCCAGGAGACCUGCCUUGAAUGGAAAAACGUC